UACGAAGGGGGCGAGCGUUGUUCGGAAUUACUGGGCGUAAAGGGCGCGUAGGCGGCCGAUCAAGUCAGAUGUGAAAGUCCUGGGCUUAACCUGGGGACUGCAUUUGAUACUGAUUGGCUUGAAUUCGGGAGAGGAUAGCGGAAUUCCCAGUGUAGAGGUGAAAUUCGUAGAUAUUGGGAAGAACACCAGUGGCGAAAGCGGCUCACUGGCUCGUAACUGACGCUCAGGCGCGACAGCGUGGGGAUCAAACAGG
rnacentral:rRNA from 1 species